UACGUAGGCAGCGAGCGUUGUUCGGAGUUACUGGGCGUAAAGAGUGCGUAGGCGGUGCUCCAAGUCAGUUGUGAAAUCUCCGGGCUUAACUCGGAAAGGUCAACUGAUACUGUGCGACUAGAGUGCGGAAGGGGCAACUGGAAUUCUUGGUGUAGCGGUGAAAUGCGUAGAUAUCAAGAGGAACACCUGCGGCGAAGGCGGGUUGCUGGGCCGACACUGACGCUGAGGCGCGAAAGCCAGGGGAGCGAACGGG
rnacentral:rRNA from 1 species